UUCCCAUACCGGGAAUUGAACCAGGGCUCCAGGGUGGUUCAGAUUCCUCUUGACUGUUGUCAGUAGGUAGGUGAAAGCCUGGUAUGCUAACCACUACACCAUAUGGGA